rnacentral:rRNA from 1 species
AUUGAACGCUGGCGGCAUGCCUUACACAUGCAAGUCGAACGGUAACAGGUCUUCGGAUGCUGACGAGUGGCGAACGGGUGAGUAAUGCAUCGGAACGUGCCCAGUAGUGGGGGAUAGCCCGGGGAAAGCCGGAUUAAUACCGCAUACGACCUGAGGGUGAAAGGGGGGGAUCGCAAGACCUCUCGCUAUUGGAGCGGCCGAUGUCAGAUUAGCUAGUUGGUGGGGUAAAGGCCUACCAAGGCAACGAUCUGUAGUUGGUCUGAGAGGACGACCAGCCACACUGGGACUGAGACACGGCCCAGACUCCUACGGGAGGCAGCAGUGGGGAAUUUUGGACAAUGGGCGCAAGCCUGAUCCAGCAAUGCCGCGUGCAGGAAGAAGGCCUUCGGGUUGUAAACUGCUUUUGUCAGGGAAGAAAUCUUCUGGGUUAAUACCUCGGGAGGAUGACGGUACCUGAAGAAUAAGCACCGGCUAACUACGUGCCAGCCGCCGCGGUAAGAC